UAUGCGAAAACCAUAAUAUUCCUCUCUCGAUAUAUGACACUCUCUAGAUCGAUUCACACUCGACGUCAACGGAAAGGAAGGGGCGUCACAGUCAACUCAAGUGAUGGAGUUAUGGGCCAGUUGUACAAUCUCGGGUUCAAUCUAGGGUUAACCUGGAGUACGCGUUGAGACGUUUUACUCUCGGAAAAGCGUUCCCGCCCAGUUAAAGUUGGCAACAACUUAAGGGUCCGAAUGGAAAUGCCUUUACGAUCGCUCCCAUCCAUGCUCCCAUCAGCCACAGUGCCGACUGCCGAGUGUCAACUUUGUUUGCGCAAUAAAAAUACCUAUUCUCAGAUAUGGAAGAAUUAACGGAGUUGCAGAUGGUGGUGCUUGAAAAGUACCAUUACAAGAACAAAAGAAGAGAGGAAGAACAGUUUUCUUUCUUUAUUUUUUUAAAAAAAGUUCAAAAUUAGGAUCAGAAAAUACAAAUCAAACAAAUGAUUUCAGAAUAAAACUAUCUUAUUCCAUA